rnacentral:rRNA from 1 species
UCGAACGGUUAAAGCACCUUCGGGUGUGUAUAGAGUGGCGAACGGCUGAGUAACACGUGGGCAACCUGCCCUUUGCAUCGGGACAGCCUCGGGAAACCGUGGUUAAUACCGGAUACUCCAUCUUUCUCACAUGAAAAAGAUGGGAAAGUGUUUAGCGGCAAGGGAUGGGCCCGCGCCCUGUUAGCUUGUUGGUGGGGUAAAAGCCUACCAAGGCAAUGAUGGGUAGCCGGGUCGAGAGACCGACCGGCCAGAUUGGGACUGAGACACGGCCCAGACUCCUACGGGAGGCAGCAGUGGGGAAUCUUGCACAAUGGGCGAAAGCCUGAUGCAGCGACGCCGCGUGCGGGAUGAAGGCCUUCGGGUUGUAAACCGCUUUCAGCAGGGACGAGGCGAAAGCGACGGUACCUGCAGAAGAAGCCCCGGCUAACUACGUGCCAGCAGCCGCGGUAAUACGUAGGGGGCAAGCGUUAUCCGGAUUCAUUGGGCGUAAAGCGCGCGUAGGCUGCCCAGUAGGUCGAGAGUUAAAUCCGGGGGCUCAACCCCCGUCCGCUCCCGAUACCGCUGGGCUUCGAGUCUGGUAGGGGAAGGUGGAAUUCCCAGUGUAGCGGUGGAAUGCGCAGAUAUUGGGAAGAACACCGGUGGCGAAGGCGGCCUUCUGGGCCAUGACUGACGCUGAGGCGCGAAAGCUAGGGGAGCGAACAGGAUU